CCACUGCCUCCCGCAGUUUGCUAGACUACAACUCCCAUAAUCCCCUGAACAUCAGCUGGCGGGGCUGAUGGGAGUUGGAGUCCAACGUCCUUUCCCAACAGUUAUGGCAACCAUGUGGGGCAUUUAAGAGUGCGGCAUUUGUUUAAGCGGGAGGCGCUGUGGGUUAAACCACAGAGCCUAGGACUUGCCGAUCAGAAGGUCGGCGGUUCGAAUCCCCGCGAUGGACGGGGUGAGCUCCCGUUGCUCGGUCCCUGCUCCUGCCAACCUAGCAGUUCAAAAGCA